CCCGAAGUAUCCUGAAUCUUUCGCAUUGUUAAUCAUACAAGUGCAUAUAAUAAACACAAAAAUCAAUGAUAAUUAUGCCAUUAUAUAAUUCCGAAAAAUUAACGCACUGUAUUCAUAUAAAUCUAUCAGCACUUUAUCAAAUUAAUAACAUUUAUUCUGUGUUAAAAUGCAAGCAAUUUAAUUGGAAUAAACUAUAAGUUAUAUUUUAUGAUAAAUUUUGUAUGCUAAUAGAUUACAAUGUCCUUAUAUGGAAAAAAUGCACACUAUUAUCAUAAUAUUGUUUAAAUAUUACAAUUAUAAUGAUGAAUUUUCCAUAACGGAUAUUCAGGUUCAUCGGGC
rnacentral:rRNA from 1 species